CUCGGGCCCAAAAUGGCCACCAAGCAGCAAUCUCUGCAGUUUCAAGCAAGCCAUGAGAUCCAGACCUGGAUCCAGACCUGGAGAGAGCACUUUGAAGCCCGCUUUGACCGAAUCUGCCAGGAAUUCUGGAAGCGCAUGGAGCAUAAAGCCACCCAUUCUGACCUACCUGGUAUGAAGGUGAAGGAGGCUGAAGCGGCAAUUCACCGAUCCAGUGCCCACGCGGAGUUGCGCCCAUCUUGCCGACGGGCCCGCCAGCGGACUCUCCCGACACCGAACCGAAAAGCAGCAUGCCAACACCGACCACUCACCUUACAACCUUGCCGCAGCUUCUAUGCACGACGCUCAGAUGGGAGUCGACUACAUACUCGCGGACCCCUCCGCCGGAGAAAAAACACAUGGCAACACAGAUUCGGAGCACAGAGAAGGCCCAGAGACCAAGUCCCAGCAACUGUCGGCGCUGAACAAGAGCACACAAGCGCUUGGGACUGGUACGGCGCUCACCUGC